rnacentral:rRNA from 1 species
CUGCUGCCUUCCGUAGGAGUCUGGGCCGUAUCUCAGUCCCAAUGUGGCCGGUCAACCUCUCAGUCCGGCUACUGAUCGUCGCCUAGGUGGGCCGUUACCCCGCCUACCAGCUAAUCAGACGCGAGGCCAUCUUCCAGCGAUAAAUCUUUGACAUGUCCGUGAUGCCACGGUCAUGUGUCAUGCGGUAUUAGCAGUCGUUUCCAACUGUUGUCCCCCUCUGGAAGGCAGGUUCCUCACGCGUUA